rnacentral:rRNA from 1 species
GACGAACGCUGGCGGUGUGCUUAACACAUGCAAGUCGAACGGUAAGGCCCUUUCGGGGGUCCACGAGUGGCGAACGGGUGAGUAACACGUGAGUAACCUGCCCUCAUCUCUGGGAUAACAGUCGGAAACGGUUGCUAAUACUGGAUAUGAGCUUGCAAGGCAUCUUGUGGGUUGGAAAGAUUUUUUUGGUUGGGGAUGGACUCGCGGCCUAUCAGCUUGUUGGUGAGGUAGUGGCUCACCAAGGCUUCGACGGGUAGCCGGCCUGAGAGGGCGACCGGCCACAUUGGGACUGAGAUACGGCCCAAACUCCUACGGGAGGCAGCAGUGGGGAAUAUUGCACAAUGGACGGAAGUCUGAUGCAGCAACGCCGUGUGCGGGAUGACGGCCUUCGGGUUGGAAACCGCUUUCAAUUGUGACGAAGCUUUUUGUGACGGUAGCAGUAGAAGAAGCACCGGCUAACUACGUG